rnacentral:rRNA from 1 species
UACAUGUGGGGCAAGCGUUGUUCGGAAUUACUGGGCAUAAAGGGUGCGUAGGCGGUUUGUUAAGUCUGUGGUGAAAUGUUUCGGCCCAACCGGAAAAUUGCCGCGGAUACUGGCGAACUUGAGUGCGUGAGGGAUGGGGGGAACGAGCAGUGUAGCGGUGAAAUGCGUAGAUAUCUGGAGGAACACCGGUGGCGAAGGCGGCAUCCUGGACCAAUACUGACGCUGAGGAGCGAAAGCCAGGGGAGCAAAACGGGG